UGAUAAAUUGCUUUAUCUUCCAUGCUCUCCUUCUUUGGGAUGUUGUCCAAAAAUUGUUGCAGCUUUGGUUCUUUUGCCAAGUUUUUGAUGCAUUCUGAUGCUUUGCAGAAACCAUUUGCUGGCCCCAGGCUUUCAAUGUCAUCAACAAGAUGUAGCAGGAGAUGUACUUUAGCCUUCUUUUGAAAUUCAGGCACAUGUAUUAUGUAUCUGGUGUUAUACCUCGCUCAACAAUUCCCAGACCAAGAGUUGUUCAAAUGGAAUGAUAUCUUGCAGAACA